AUCCAGCUGACGAAAUUCAAAUAGGACGAAACGCGCGUCAAACUGGAU
rnacentral:hammerhead_ribozyme from 1 species